rnacentral:rRNA from 1 species
UACGAAGGGUGCAAACGUUGCUCGGAAUUAUUGGGCGUAAAGCGUACGCAGGCGGCUCGGCAAGUCGAGUGUGAAAUCCCGGGGCUCAACUCCGGAACUGCAUUCGAUACUGCCGGGCUUGAGUGCGGGAGAGGGAAGCGGAAUUCCUGGUGUAGAGGUGGAAUUCGUAGAUAUCAGGAGGAACACCGGUGGCGAAAGCGGCUUCCUGGCCCGACACUGACGCUCAUGUACGAAAGCGUGGGGAGCAAACAGG